rnacentral:SRP_RNA from 1 species
ACAUGGGUAAGUCUCAUACGACCAGCUCCUUGAAAAUCCCCCAGGAUGGGAACAUAGCAAGGGUAUCAGGUCGUAGCGGUGCGAUAUGAAUCGCUUGCCCACC